GUGUUCACUUCAGCAGCACAUACACUAAAAUUGGAAUGAUACAGAGAAGAUUAACAUGGCCCCUGUGCAAGAAUGACAUGCAAAUUUGUAAAGUGUUCCAAGUUUAA
ensembl:snRNA U6 U6 spliceosomal RNA